UGCUGACGCCCGCCACGGCCCGGCCGCCUCCAGCUCGCUCCUGACUUCUAAACUUGAAAAGUUUGAAGCGAGUGGAGCACCGAUUUGGAAGACACUGGUGCCUGAUUGUGAUGAGAUGCUGCCAACAGAAAAGAAUCCACUUGUCUAGUGGGAGAGGGUGAGUAUAUUGAAAGUACCGGCCCGAAUAAUGGAUAGAGGUGAUAGCUAAGGUUCAGUUCAUGCGCUACGUGUAAUCGGAACGUAGCCAUAGGGAUCAAAAUGGGCUGGAAGCAGGAGAAGAUGCCUGCAUUUCUGAUAGCACGUGCUUCAUGCAGGGGACUGCCCAUUAGAUGGCCUGGAUCAGAAGAAAAGGCAGGAGUGUUGCAUGGUGGGUUAUGUGGCUGCUGAAUUUCGGGGUACAAUGCGGCUGAGCCUGUGUGGGUGUGAGCUACACACCAGGAAAGCAGGUAGAGCCAUGGGGCUACGGUGAAUUUGGUGUGUACAGACUUGAAAGGUGCCGCAAAGUCAAGGGCCGGGCUCUGGGUGGUCUGGCCUGCCAGGAUGGGGCUACCUUUGGGGUGCUCUCAAAGGGUGGGAGCCUGGGGUAUAGGAGAGGAAUAAGAAAAAGAAGCCACAUACUCUGUGGGGACUUGGACUUGCCGUCAGCUGGCGUGCAGACCAACAACUGGGCCCCUUGGUGGGGCCACCCUUGAUGCCAGCUGCCGGGGAAGACGUGGUUUGAUCCGAUGCGUGGCAAGGACAUUCCGGGGGAGGCCGAUACUGGAGGGGUGGCUCAUUGGACGUGAGUGGUAAUUUGUGCAUCCAUGUUACCUGAAAUAAGGCCUUAAAGUACUGAUUGAUUGUAAAUGUGUAUCUAGUUGCAGUAGA